GCCCUCGUAGCUCAGUGGAUAGAGCAGUAGUUUCCUAAACUAUUGGCCGGAUGUUCGACUCAUCCCGAGGGCG
rnacentral:tRNA from 5 species